rnacentral:rRNA from 1 species
AGCCGCGGUAAUACGUAGGGUGCGAGCGUUGUCCGGAAUUACUGGGCGUAAAGAGCUCGUAGGUGGUUUGUCGCGUCGUCUGUGAAAUUCCGGGGCUUAACUCCGGGCGUGCAGGCGAUACGGGCAUAACUUGAGUACUGUAGGGGAGACUGGAAUUCCUGGUGUAGCGGUGAAAUGCGCAGAUAUCAGGAGGAACACCGGUGGCGAAGGCGGGUCUCUGGGCAGUAACUGACGCUGAGGAGCGAAAGCAUGGGUAGCGAACAGGAUUAGAUACCCUGGUAGUCCAUGCCGUAAACGGUGGGCGCUAGGUGUAGGGGUCUUCCACGACUUCUGUGCCGUAGCUAACGCAUUAAGCGCCCCGCCUGGGGAGUACGGCCGCAAGGCUAAAACUCAAAGGAAUUGACGGGGGCCCGCACAAGCGGCGGAGCAUGUGGAUUAAUUCGAUGCAACGCGAAGAACCUUACCUGGGCUUGACAUGUACGGGACCGCCGCAGAGAUGUGGCUUCCCUUGUGGCUCGUAUACAGGUGGUGCAUGGCC